GGAUGUUACCUACAUACCUGCAGUUAAGGGGGGAAAAAGAAAAAAAGAAAAAGUAUCCUAUCAAUACCAAAAGCACAGUCAAAAAAACAUAAUCUACCUGCACAGAAAAAGGGAAUAUAGAACGAAUGUCAUAUGGUAUAAAAUAGAACUAUUAGGAACAAACAAUGGUGUGCAAACCACAAAGUAAUGUUGAUACAAACCUAAAAAUGAUAGAUAGUAAUAAAAUAUAGAGAGAAUAAACUUUUCAUAAUUCAGCUCCAUUGGUUUCAUGGGAAAUAAUUUAUCUAUGAAAAAUCUUUUCCAAGGAAAAUAUAAUGAGAAAAUAAUUUAUUUUCUGUUGUUUAGUUUCAAUGUUAAAAGAUUAAGGGCAAUUAUUUUUUACUGUUUAGACUAUAAAAGAUUCAUUUUUGUUACUAUUUUAUUGUUGAAUAUAAGUAAAAAAUGCAUAAAAACGUUAAAGUGAGGUGGCUGCCACUAGUUGCCUGUGACCAAUGAUGGCUGCUGGUAGUCAGGGAGCACUAGUGGUGGCCAGUAAACUAAUGGGUAUGUAUUUGUGUCAUGCAUUACAAAUUUCUUCACAUUUUAAUAAGUUUAUCAAAAUUCAAAAAUGACAGUCUUCUUUGAAAAGAUGAAGUCAUUUUUUCUUAAAAAUGGAUUACUUUUUCCUCUAGUAGGAAUUCUGAAUGCUCUAAGCAUGCCGAAAAUAUUUUCCAUGAGACAACAGAGCAUUAGCAUGGAAAGAUACAAGUUAUCCCAGUUCAGGCAUCAACUCUAGAACAACUAAAAUAAAUCAAAGGCUGAAAAAAGGCUACAACACUCACACACUGCGGCAUGUACUUGAAUCAAAGCCAGGAGGCAAAUUCCCACUCAAGAUAGGCUCUAUCUGG
rnacentral:misc_RNA from 1 species